ACGAAGAAGUAUCUGGAGGUUAGCAAGACAGUUUCUGACUCACAAAUACCAGACCUCGCUACCAGAGAACAGUACAACCAGAAGAACCUAAAGUCUCAGAAGCACGUUAGAGAACUGCAGAAUAAACUGAAGAAGUUGGAGGAGAGGAAGAAGAAGAUCCGAGAACAGGAACUGAUGAACAAUGGUUACGUACAAGUGGACCCACAAGACACUACCCACAGUACUAUGGGACAUGAGACUCUGGACGGGAAACGUACUCCUGACCAGAGCAAGAAAUCAGGAGUUAUUCACCGGGCU